AACGAACGCUGGCGGCAGGCCUAACACAUGCAAGUCGAACGCCCUAGCAAUAGGGAGUGGCAGACGGGUGAGUAACACGUGGGAACCUUCCCUAUAGUACGGAAUAUACCAGGGAAACUUGGAGCAAUACCGUAUACGCCCGAGAGGGGAAAGAUUUAUCGCUAUAGGAUGGGCCCGCGUAGGAUUAGCUAGUUGGUGAGGUAAUGGCUCACCAAGGCGACGAUCCUUAGCUGGUUUGAGAGAACGACCAGCCACACUGGGACUGAGACACGGCCCAGACUCCUACGGGAGGCAGCAGUGGGGAAUAUUGGACAAUGGGCGCAAGCCUGAUCCAGCCAUGCCGCGUGAGUGAUGAAGGCCUUAGGGUUGUAAAGCUCUUUUGCCGGGGACGAUAAUGACGGUACCCGGAGAAUAAGUCCCGGCUAACUUCGUGCCAGCCGCCGCAGUAAC
rnacentral:rRNA from 1 species